CAACUUACCAAAAUAUGUUAAAUAUCAUUCUUUGGCUGUUUAAACUUUCUGGAUUUAUUUGAAUGUCGAAAUAAACUAUCUAGCGAUAGCCGAUGCACUAUAAGAAACAUUCUUUUAUAUAUAAAUUUCAUACAGAUUCCUAUAAAUAUAUCGAAUAAUAGAUAUAUCACUAUAAUCAAUUUUUUAUAGUUAUUCCUACAAAAAUCCUAGUGUUUUCAACUAUACCUAUGCUUUUAGGAUUCGUUAAAAAAGUAUAGUUAACUAUAGAUAAAAUAAUUAAUCUUAAUUAAUGAAUGAGGUAAAUUAACCUUUUUGCCUCUCUUGUAUUAUUCGUGAUGGCAGAAAGUAAAAAAAUAACCUUUGAAAAUUUUUUGAAGGUCAUUUAUAUAUAAUUCUAACAGUUGGGGCUUUUGAAUGGAUAUAUUUGUGAUAAAAAAAAUGUUAUUUCACUUAUCCUCUAUUAAAAAAUAAGCAGUACUGUAACGAUAACAAAUCAGAAGGACAAAUAUGAAUAUCAUUAGAUUUUUAUAAAAAUAUAAAUAUACAAAGUUAAACUUUUUAUUAUUCAAUAUGUCUACAUAGAGUUGUAUGAAAUUAACUUAAUAUUUAUUAUUGAGUAGAGCUACUAUGCUAUUGAAAAUAUAGAGAAUCUGAUGCUUCCGACUUUUUAGCCCUUAGAUCAACUUUUUUUAUCAUUUCUAACUUUUGGAUUAAAACUAUUAUCUUGUGGGGACUACUCAACCCUAGGGGUACUACUCAACCCUAAAAAGGACUGUAAUCAUUCAAACCGUAUAAUUCUUGAUUUAAUGGUCAAAAGAUCGAAAGCAUCAAAUACUCUAUACUUCCGAUAGAAUAGUAGCUCUACACUUUAUUAUUAUGAUAGUGGCUGUUCA
rnacentral:lncRNA from 1 species